GAUGAAGAACGUAGCGAAAUGCGAUAAGUAAUGUGAAUUGCAGAAUUCAGUGAAUCAUCGAAUCUUUGAACGCACAUUGCGCCCAUUAGUAUUCUAGUGGGCAUGCCUGUUCGAGCGUCAUUUCAACCCUUAAGCCUAGCUUAGUAUUGGGAAUCGACUUUACUGUCGUUCCUCAAAUUCAACGGCGGAUUUAUAGCAAUCUCUGAACGUAGUAAUUUUUUUCCUCGUUUUUGAAAUACUAUAAACCUCAGCCGCUAACCCCCAAUUUUUCUAUGGUUGACCUCGGAUCAGGUAGGAAUACCCGCUGAACUUAAGCAUAUCAAUAAGCGGAGGA
rnacentral:misc_RNA from 1 species